rnacentral:rRNA from 1 species
CCUACGGGAGGCAGCAGUGAGGAAUAUUGGUCAAUGGACGAGAGUCUGAACCAGCCAAGUAGCGUGAAGGACGACUGCCCUAUGGGUUGUAAACUUCUUUUAUAUGGGAAUAAAAUGUUCCACGUGUGGGAUUCUGUAUGUACCAUAUGAAUAAGGAUCGGCUAACUCCGUGCCAGCAGCCGCGGUAAUACGGAGGAUCCGAGCGUUAUCCGGAUUUAUUGGGUUUAAAGGGAGCGUUGGUGGGUUGUUAAGUCAGGUGUGAAAGUUUGCGGCUCAACCGUAAAAUAGCAGUUGAAACUGGCAGUCUUGAGGACAGUAGAGGUGGGCGGAAUUCGUGGUGUAGCGGUGAAAUGCUUAGAUAUCACGAAGAACUCCGAUUGCGAAGGCAGCUCACUGGACUGCAACUGACACUGAGGCACGAAAGCGUGGGGAUCGAACAGGAUUAGAUACCCGAGUAGUC